rnacentral:rRNA from 1 species
GACGAACGCUGGCGGCGUGCUUAACACAUGCAAGUCGAACGAUGAACCUUGAAAUGACAUCUUCGGAAGGAUUUUUGAGAGGAUUAGUGGCGAACGGGUGAGUAACGCGUGAGCAACCUGCCUUAGACAAGGGGAUAGCCUCGGGAAACCGUGAUUAAUACCCUAUGAGACUCCACUUACGAGUGUAAGAGAAGUUAAAGCUAUUGCGGUCUAAGAUGGGCUCGCGUCUGAUUAGCUAGUUGGUGAGAUAAAAGCCCACCAAGGCGACGAUCAGUAACCGGCGUGAGAGAGGGAACGGCAACAUUGGAACUGGGAAACGGUCCAAACUCCUACGGGAGGCAGCGGUGGGGAAUAUUGCACAAUGGGGGGGGAACCCUGAUGCAGCGACGCCGCGUGAGCGAUGAAGGAAUUCGUUUCGUAAAGCUCUGUCCUUGGAGAAGAUAAUGACGGUAACCAAGGAGGAAGCACCGGCUAAAUACGUG